GCUGGUUUGGCUCAGUGGAUAGAGCAUCGGCCUGUGGACCCAAGGGUCCCUGGUUCGAUUCCAGUCAAGAGCA
rfam:Myotis lucifugus cont2.56802, whole genome shotgun sequence.